rnacentral:piRNA from 1 species
UUCAAGAAGACACAGAUGCUGCAUCCC